CUGAUGGAGCACGCCGCGUGUGUGAUGAAGGGUUUCGGCUCGUAAAACACUGUUGUCAGAGAAGAAUGACACUGAGAGUAACUGUUCAGUGUGUGACGGUAUCUUACCAGAAAGGAACGGCUAAUACGUGCCAGCAGCCGCGGUAAU
rnacentral:rRNA from 1 species